rnacentral:rRNA from 1 species
UAGGGAAUAUUGGUCAAUGGGCGAGAGCCUGAACCAGCCAUCCCGCGUGCAGGAAGAAGGCCCUAUGGGUUGUAAACUGCUUUUGUGCAGGAAUAAAAGUACCCUCGUGAGGGUAUUUGAAGGUACUGCGUGAAUAAGCACCGGCUAACUCCGUG